rnacentral:lncRNA from 1 species
GGACGAGGGGUAGAGAACCGGGAAGGAAAAAGAAUAUGGAAUGCAUUAAAGGAUGGAAGGUGAAAGCGGAUAGAGGACAGGGAGAGAAUCCGAAGAGGAGACAGGAGUAGCAGCAACAUCAGCAGCAGCAAGAUUGAAGCAGUUUUAUUGGGGAUACUUCGCGAAAACUUUAGCGCUUCUUAUAACUUGGAAAUGUGAUGGCUAAAGUUUUCGUUCAAAAUAAUUUUGGUUUUCAGAUUUUAUUUUAUUUCGUUCCCUUUCCUUUCGGAAUCGAGUUUCUGUUGAGUAAUAUACGCAAGCAAACGCAUUUCUGAAAGUUAUUUUGCUUUUAUUUUGUCGUUGGAGAGACUCGAAUGUCUAAUGCCGGUCACAAUUUAUUCCCGCCGCGCCGCGCCGUCGAUCCGAGCAAUUUUCAGGCCAUGAGAAUUUUGCAGCUGUUCAAUUCGGGACAAAACAGGUUCAUCAAGAGAAUGACGCAUGACGAACUCAAGUCUGUCGGUUUGGAAUAAACAAACGAGCGACCUCAGCUCACAUCAUCCAAGUUCUGGGUCAUUUUCCUUCCUAUUUUGACAUCCAGCGAAAAGAUUCUUUCUGCAACUUUUCUCCGACUCGCAGCGCGCUCGUUCGAGUUCAACUCCUGAAAAUGGCGGGCUAAGCAAACAGCCCGACUCAAAUCGACUCGGUGGCUCACGGAUUACUCCGAAAAUUCACCCAACUCACAAUGAGUUCGACUGUGAAGCUCACGAAAAUUGGGCCAUUCCAGAGACUCCAGCUUAUCGAAAAUUGUCGCAAUACAAGCAGAACCUAAGUAAUAAACGUAUCAUUCUACUAAUAAAACAACAACUUAAUUUGGGGAAAGGCUGCAAAACAACAAAGGAUAAAACAAAACCGGAAUGUUUCAAAAUAGUGACAAUUUCAUUAUCAACCGGAACAAAAAAAAAAAAAAAUUAAUUACUUCGUGGAUGUGUGCUCUCAGAAUGUAUAACGUUCUUUUCCCUCCGUUCUUUUUCUUAUUAUUAUUAUUUUUUUUUUGUUGUUCCGGUUGAUGAUGAAAUUGUCACUAUUUUGAAACGUUCCAGGUUUUGUUUUAUCCUUUGUUGUUUUGUAGCCUUUCCCCAAAUAAUUUGUUCUUUUAUUGUGUGUAUUUUGGCUGAUUAAGUUGUUUUUAUCAUUCUACUUCUACUCCUAUCUUCUUUACGAUGAUUUUUUUUUUAAUUUUCCUCGUGAAAAGCUUACCUUCAUUCAUGUGAUGAAAUAUUCGAUUCGGUUACACGACUUCUGUCG